rnacentral:rRNA from 1 species
UGGGGAAUAUUGCACAAUGGGGGAAACCCUGAUGCAGCGACGCCGCGUGGAGGAAGAAGGUCUUCGGAUUGUAAACUCCUGUUGUUGAGGAAGAUAAUGACGGUACUCAACAAGGAAGUGACGGCUAACUACGUGCCAGCAGCCGCGGUAAAACGUAGGUCACAAGCGUUGUCCGGAAUUACUGGGUGUAAAGGGAGCGCAGGCGGGAGAACAAGUUGGAAGUGAAAUCCAUGGGCUCAACCCAUGAACUGCUUUCAAAACUGUUUUUCUUGAGUAGUGCAGAGGUAGGCGGAAUUCCCGGUGUAGCGGUGGAAUGCGUAGAUAUCGGGAGGAACACCAGUGGCGAAGGCGGCCUACUGGGCACCAACUGACGCUGAGGCUCGAAAGUGUGGGUAGCAAACAGGAUUAGAUACCCUGGUAGUCCACACCGUAAACGAUGAUUACUAGGUGUUGGAGGAUUGACCCCUUCAGUGCCGCAGUUAACACAAUAAGUAAUCCACCUGGGGAGUACGACCGCAAGGUUGAAACUCAAAGGAAUUGACGGGGGCCCGCACAAGCAGUGGAGUAUGUGGUUUAAUUCGACGCAACGCGAAGAACCUUACCAAGUCUUGACAUCCCUUGACGAUACUGGAAACAGUAUUUCUCUUCGGAGCAAGGAGACAGGUGGUGCAUGGUUGUCGUCAGCUCGUGUCGUGAGAUGUUGGGUUAAGUCCCGCAACGAGCGCAACCCUUAUGGUCAGUUACUACGCAAGAGGACUCUGGCCAGACUGCCGUUGACAAAACGGAGGAAGGUGGGGAUGACGUCAAAUCAUCAUGCCCUUUAUGACUUGGGCUACACACGUACUACAAUGGCGUUAAACAAAGAGAAGCAAGACCGCGAGGUGGAGCAAAACUCAGAAACAACGUCCCAGUUCGGACUGCAGGCUGCAACUCGCCUGCACGAAGUCGGAAUUGCUAGUAAUCGUGGAUCAGCAUGCCACGGUGAAUACGUUCCC